GCCUCAUUGGCUCAGGGGCAGAGCGUCUCUCUAGUAAACAGAAGGUCGCUGGUUCGAUUCCAGCAUGAGGCA
rnacentral:tRNA from 1 species